CAACCUUAACGAUGGAUGUCUUGGUUCCUACGGCGAAGAAGGCCGCAAUUAAACGCGAUACAUGUGACACAAAAAUGUGAAUUUAUCGAAAAUCGUAUAUUAUUCUCUGUGAAUCAUCUAUUAAGCCGAAUGUAAAAAGUGCAAAAUGCUCAUCAAUCUUGCUAAAGAAAGGGUAG
rfam:Plasmodium cynomolgi strain B DNA, chromosome 1.